UACAGUACUGCUAGGAAAAGUCACUUAAAAGACAUUUUUCUAAUGGCUGCCACAACAAGUUCUGCUGCUCAUGGGCCCUGGGUGCUCUAACCUGGGACCUGGGGAUAAGUUUGGCUGCAGACACUG
rnacentral:snoRNA from 14 species